rnacentral:lncRNA from 1 species
AAAUCGAUGUUUUUUAUUAAAAAGAAAUUAAAUUACAGAAUCGUUAAACAUUCGAAGUUUGAAUAAGAAAAAAAAAAUCGUUUAAUCAACACUCGUCUGAAAGCGAGUCUUCUGAAUCAGAAUCAGAAAUAUCUGAUCUGAAUGCAGACGGUAUUGUGGACUUUGAAGUAGAAGCCAUCUGCGUCAUGUCGAGUCCAGAAGUCUUCACAG